rnacentral:rRNA from 1 species
CGCUAGUAAUCGCGCAUCAGCCAUGGCGCGGUGAAUACGUUCCCGGGCCUUGUACACACCGCCCGUCAAGCCAUGAAAGCCGGGGGUACCUGAAGUACGUAACCGCAAGGAGCGUCCUAGGGUAAAACUGGUAAUUGGGGCUAAGUCGUAACAAGGUAUC